rnacentral:rRNA from 1 species
AAUUCGAUGCAACGCGAAGAACUUACCUGGUCUUGACAUCCCGGAGACCCUUAGGAAACUAGGGGUGCUUCCAUCUGGAAGAAUCUGGAGACAGGUGCUGCAUGGCUGUCGUCAGCUCGUGUCGUGAGAUGUUGGGUUAAGUCCCGCAACGAGCGCAACCCUUGCCUUUAGUUGCCAGCAGUUCGGCUGGGCACUCUAAAGGGACUGCCGGUGUUAAACCGGAGGAAGGUGGGGAUGACGUCAAGCCCUCAUGGCCUUUAUGACCAGGGCUACACACGUACUACAAUGGCCGAUACAAAGGGCAGCGACACUGCGAGGUGAAGCCAAUCCCGUAAAAUCGGUCUCAGUCCGGAUUGGAGUCUGCAACUCGACUCCAUGAAGUUGGAAUCGCUAGUAAUCGUGGAUCAGCAUGCCACGGUGAAUACGUUCCCGGGCCUU